rnacentral:rRNA from 1 species
AACGAACGCUGGCGGCAUGCCUAACACAUGCAAGUCGAACGAGACCUUCGUGUCUAGUGGCGCACGGGUGCGUAACGCGUGGGAACCUGCCCUUAUGUUCGGAAUAACUCCCCGAAGGGGGGGCUAAUACCGGAUAAUUUCUUCUGACCAAGGAUUUAUCGCCUUUGUGUGGGCCCGCGUUGUAUUAGCUAGUUGGUAGGGUAAAAGCCAACCAAGGCUACGAUCCAUAGCUGGUCUGAGGGAAUAGUCAGCAACACUGCGACUGGGACACGGCCCGAACUCUUCAGGAGGGAGGCAGUGGGGAUUAUGGAAAACGGGGGGAAGGCAGAAGCAGGAAAUGCGCGUGAGUGAUGAAGGUCUUAGGGUUGUAAAGCUCUUUUACCCGCGAUGAUAAUGACAGUACCGGGAGAAUAAGCUCCGGCUAACUCCGUG